UACGAUCUACGAUGCUUGUCCCACGGCCUGACUGAAUAAUAUUUAUAUAAUCAAUGGAAGGAAAAAACAGUAGAACAUUGAAAUUGGCUCGUAGGCAAGACGGAAGAUGGUCAAAACCGGUCAGAAAAUGAUGGCCUAGACACGGUUGGAGAGCUCUUGUUGGCAGAAACCACCUGAAGAUGGUCAGAUGACAUCAGCAACCUUG